UACGUAGGGUGCGAGCGUUGUCCGGAAUUACUGGGCGUAAAGAGCUCGUAGGUGGUUUGUCGCGUUGUCCGUGAAAUUCCCUGGCUUAACUGGGGGCGUGCGGGCGAUACGGGCAGACUGGAGUACUGCAGGGGAGACUGGAAUUCCUGGUGUAGCGGUGGAAUGCGCAGAUAUCAGGAGGAACACCGGUGGCGAAGGCGGGUCUCUGGGCAGUAACUGACGCUGAGGAGCGAAAGCGUGGGGAGCGAACAGGAUUAGAUACCCUGGUAGUCCACGCUGUAAACGGUGGGUACUAGGUGUGGGUUUCCUUCCUUGGGAUCCGUGCCGUAGCUAACGCAUUAAGUACCCCGCCUGGGGAGUACGGCCGCAAGGCUAAA
rnacentral:rRNA from 1 species